GUGCCCGCUUCGGCAGCAUAUAUACUAAAAUUGGAACGAUACUAAGAUGAUUAGUAUGGCCUCUGUGCAAAAAAAAGACAUGCAAACUCAUGAACCACUCCAUAUUUUU
rnacentral:snRNA from 1 species